rnacentral:lncRNA from 1 species
GUUCACACUUGUAUACUUAUUAAGCAAUCAAUUAAGUGUUGCAUUUUUGCUCUGCAGUUUAUAAUGACAUUUCACUGUUUUGUAUUUCACCUCAAUAACAUACAUAACAAAGUAAAGAGAGGGCCUUCGUGCAUUUUCUCUCCAUCUUAAACAUUUUUUACAGGCCAAGGGAGCUGCAGUAACAUCCUUUUACUAAUCAAGGGCUACCGAUUGUAGACUUUGAUAAGAAAUGAGAAAACUAAUGAUCCACACUGAAAAGCGGUGUGAUUACAGUAAACUAUGAGUUACUGAUUUUUUUUGCAACUAAAUUUAUUUACUUUUUGUCCCUGUCUUUUCUCUCCUGAACUCAACGCUAUGUCUACUGCUGGCCCUGUUCACUGUUGGCGACUCAGCUGUAAGUUCACAAAUAAAGUAACUUUAAAAUAUAUUUUUACUGUUACUUUUCACAACACAUUAUCUAAAAACCUGACCUAAAUAACACUUUAUUUUAACUAAUGCAGAAACAAAUGGAAAUAAUUUUGCUGGCUGAUCACUGUUGGAAUUACAAUGCAGUGAGAUGUGCUGGUUUUGUACAAUUAAAAUAAAAAUCUCUUGUCACUGUUUUUCCAUUUUCCUUCUUGCCAACUCUAUCCUGUCUCCAAGUGCAGACCGCUUUGUGGCGACUCGACGUAAGUUCACACAGGAAUGACAUUUUCAUGAAUAAUACAGUGUGCCUUUAUUCAACACAUUAUGGACCCCUCAUCAUGUACUAACUUGACGAUUUUUUCCCUUUGAUUAUGUAAUAUUCACAGUUGGACAUGAACAGCUUGAAUGUUAUAUGCAAUACACUUAUUUGCAUUUUAUUUCCAAUCAUUGGAAAGCAAUUUGUUACUAUUAAAUUGUGGAGUUGUAAUUUUUUUAAUGAUGAAUAUCCAAAUAGUUACUUAUCAUUGUGAUUCCUUACGUUGUGAUUACUUCGUUGGAAAACUUAAAACACAGUAAAGGAAAUUACAUUUCCUAAAAUACAUUAUUAUUUUAUUAGCAUAGUAAUCCAUUGUUAUUAUUGCUUAACAGGACAUGGUUAUGAACAUUAUAAAGGGAACUUUAGAUGAUUUCUAAGAGUCUAAAAUUUUUUUGUAAAAAAAAAUUCUUCUCUUUUUGUAAAAUACUUUGAGGUCCUAAAUUUAAAAAGCUGGCUAUGUGGUUGGAUUCAAGUUGGACUCAGUGUAGGAUGUGGUAGAGAGAUGUACGCUGAGAAGGUGGAGACUAUUUUAAAGAACAUGGAUUACCCACUUCAUAACACCUUGAUGGACCAAAGGGCCUAAGGUGGUGGACGGCUCCUCUCUCUUCGCUGCAGGACAAAAAGAUUCAGAAGGUCUUUUGUACCCACAGCCAUCAGACUUUACAAUUCUUUUAAAAAUAGUAGAUGACUUUUGGAGAUAUGACAAAUGAGACUACAAUCAAAUUUCCCUUCAGGGAAAUAAUAAAUAAAUAAUAAUAAUAAUAAAUAAUAAUUUCCCUUCAGGGAAAUAAUAAAGUUCUCCUUACCUUAAAUACAUUUUUAAUAAAAUACGAGUGUAUGAGCACUUUGGAUUUUUAGUUCUUAUUAAUUUGAUUGAUGGGUUAUCAAACAGGGCAAUUGCCAAUUCCAGGGUUUGACUCAACUUGGCUUUUGAUAGAUGUAUAGUUAAGGAUAGCCAUAUGGUGGAUUAAGUAAAAGCACAUAAUAAUGACAUUAGCUUUGGGUGGAUGUUGGUUCAUUUUGUUUCUCUUAUAAAAAAUGAUUCAUGUUUGUUUUCAUUGUGUCUUACAGGUAUCGUGUCCAGUCUCCCCACUCUCCCCUAUCUUUUUGGCCGCUCUGACUUUCCUGUCUCCUCCACCUCUCUGUCUUAUUGAAAAGCCACUCUAUCUUGUGUCCCCCUUUUCUCUAUCCCUCUAGCUAAAUUUUGGACGCUCUGACUUUCCUGUCUCCUCUACCGCUCUAUCUAAUUGAAAAGCCACUCUAUCUUGUGUCCCCCUUUUCUCUAUCCCUCUGACUAAGUUUGGUUACUCUGACUUUCCUGUCUCCUCUACCGCUCUAUCUGAUUGAUCAGCUUUUCAGAAACCAUUGUGACAAGCCUUUCAGAAACCAUUGUGACAAGCUUUUCAGAAACCAGUGUACCAGAAACCUCUGAGAAACCAGUGUACCAGAAACCUCUGAGAAACCAGUGUACCAGAAACCUCUGAGAAACCAGUGUACUAGAAACCUUUCAGAAACCAGUGUACCAGAAACCUCUGAGAAACCAGUGUACCAGAAACCUCUGAGAAACCAGUGUACCAGAAACCUCUGAGAAACCUAUUGAAGCAAGCUACCUUUUUUUGAGCAACCAUUGAAACAACCUACCUUUGAGAAACCUAUUGAAACAAGCUACCUUAUUUUGAGAAACCAAACUUUUGAAAAGCUGUACAUUUAAUACAACCACUGUUUUGAAAAAUCCCCAAUUUUGCAAAAGUCUGACUGUUGUUCUAGGUCCUCCUUUCCUGUCUGUGGAUCCAGAGUUUCACCGGAAGUGUCAUCAGCACAACCACAUCUGCAUCCCUGAUUUUGAAAGAAAAAAAAAAAGUUCCAUAUAGAAUAUUUGAGUUAGAUAUUAUUUCAAGCACAAAGCGCUAAGAUUUAAAAAUUGUUGUUGAUUUGUGUUUUUUCUGAAAACAUUUAUAUAGUCUUGUGUAGGAUUUCCUUAUAAAACAUUUGAUAAACUAUUGUGGUAUACACAUAGUUAUAAAUUAGAAUUUUGGAGACUAUAAGAGCUGUUAAAUAACGUCCUCUUGAAGAAAUAAAGCAUUUUUGUCUUCACUGGUGCUUAUCAGUAAUUUAAUUGUUGCAUAAACACAUUGUUGUGAACGAAUAGUUACAAUGCCAAGGAAGAGUAAGAAGUCACAGGCUGCAAGCCAGCGCUGGCAGAGGGUUCAUGACAUUGACUUUGUGAGUACUGGACAAGCAGAUGGUGUUCCUCAGAGCAAUGGAGAGGUAAAGAGGUCUGAAGUGUCUGAUGCUGUGAAACAGGGAGGUGAAAAUGCAUCAUGUCAACCACGGGUAUCUUAUGAAGACGUUCUCAAGAGGAGACGUGUAAGUGAGUCACCUGCAGCAGGUCCGUCUAACUCUGAACAGGUAAAACACAGAGGUGAAAGUAAUGAUCCAGGUGUACAACAGGUAACAUAUGCAGACAUGUUGAAGAGAAAACUUCCUCGUGUGUCACGUACUGCUGGUCCGUCCAACUCUCCUCAGGUUAACUACAUAGCCCAAACUGACAAGCCAUUUUCAACCCAGGUAUCGUAUCCAGACACAGUUAACCACCGUAAUUAUCAGUCUGUUUCAGCCUCUUCUCAGGCAGGAAAUAUUAAUCAGUCAGGUGAACAAAAUGUCUGUGCGUCACGCAGCCAAGCGUCUCUGAAAUACGGCCGAUCCAGAAACCAGCAGUGCACCUGUAACUCACUGACAUUUCUAGCAUUCCUGAAUGAGAAAGAACACAUCACCAGAGCAGAUCUGGACCGUGUUUUGGAUAAAGGUGAUGCGAUGUACAGAGAAAUCAGAAAAACUGUUGAUCACGCCCAUCUGACAACCGAUGAGCUCCCUGACCAGGUUCCUGCCCGCAGACACAUGCUGACUGUUGACAAGUUACAGCUGUCUAGAUACGGUACGUUUGGAGAUCCGGAUCCCGGAGCUGUUGAUACCUUUCUGGACCUCGAGAUGGGACUGAGCUGUUUAUUAUCAGAUGUGCAGUAUGCUUUGCUGCUAAUGACUUCACUGUGCAUUGCAGUUUUCAGAACCAGAGAUGGCAGGUACGGUUUCUUUGACCCACAUGCUAGGACAGCUAAUGGUUUGCCUCUGCUUAAAGCCACACCUACUCCUGGUACCGCUGUCAUGGUAACAUUCACACGCCUCAGUGACAUGAUUGCCAGGCUCAUCACGUAUCACCACAUGUUGGGCACAGCAGCGUCCUGUACCUAUGAGCUCAAGCCAGUUGUGUUCUGUGAUGUGAACCCAAGUGAUGCUAUCCCAGCCACAGAAAGUCCGUCCACAAGUCCCUCUGUAACAACCACUGUGAUAAAUGAUGACACAAGUGCUCCACAGAUGAACACUGAUGUCCAUGAAAACACUGAAUGUGACAUGGAAACUGAACCAGAACCACUGAUCGACUUCAGCCAGUGUUCUGUCACAUUAACUGGUCCUGAAUUUCUCACUCCAGAGAUUAACACUACUGUAAGUGAUGGCACAUCACAGAAAGCCUCAACUUUGAUGGAAACUCAAGCUCAUCAACCAGGUGAAAUCAACAAUAAUUCUGUCACAUUAGAGGAAACUCAACAGACAAAAUCAAAUUUGACACAACCAUUGAUAACUAUCCCCAUUGCUAGUGACAAAGUUAUCCAUGACAUCUCCACUAAACUGUCAAAAUUAAGCAAACAGCAAAAAAAGAAAUUUAAGAGGAGACUAAUGAGAUCUGGAAAGACAUCUCAAAAGAAAGAGAAUCAAAAAAGGAGAGAGAGAGAAAAGUAUGCUAAGAGUGAAACAUAUAAAGCAAAGAAAAAGUCUUAUUCAAGUAACAAAUAUUCUGUAAAUCCUGAGAUACGGACAAAGAAAAGACAAAAGAUCACAUCUAAAUAUAGAGAAAGCACAGGCUUCAGACUGAAACAAAAAGAAUAUAUCACCAAAAAAUACAGAGAAAAUGUUGAUUUUAAAGGCAGACAAAAAGAAUAUAUCACCAAAAAAUACAGAGAAAAUGUUGAUUUUAAAGGCAGACAAAAGUUAUAUUUUAGGAAAAAAUAUGGAGAAAAUGUUGAUUUUAAAGGCAGACGAAAAGAAUAUUUCACGAAAAAAUACAGAGAAAAUGUUGAUUUUAAAGGCAGACAAAAAGAAUAUAUCAGGAAAAAAUACUCGGAGGAUGUUAAUUUCAGGCAAAGACAGCGAUCAUAUAUCACUCAUCGAUAUGCAAAUGAUGAAAUAUUCUGUCACCGACACAGACAGCUGAUGAGACAAAUGAUGCGAGACAAGUACAAGACAAAUCUUGCUUACAGAACUAUGCAUAAAAUGAGGUGUGCAUUGAAAAUAUCAAAGAAAUACAAACGGAUAAGUAGACAAACAUGUGAGACUGACAGAGAGAGUGAAAACCCUCUUAUUGAAAGUGCCAUCAAUGAUUUCAGAUCACACAUUAAAGCUGGUCCCACCCAUGUUUGCACAGUUUGUCACAAAGCCUCAUUUCCAAACCAGGUUCAAAAGUGCAAGAGAUCAAACUAUGUGAAAAAUCCAACCAUGGUUUCAGCUUGUCUCAAAGGUCAGUACGUCCAUGCAUGCAACGAUGACUGCAGAAAUCAGUGCACUGUCCCUGAUGAGAGAAAGACUGAGUGGAUUUGUCACACCUGCCAUGACCAUCUGAAAAAUGGAUCCAUGCCCAAACUUGCCAUAGCAAACAACUUGGAGCUUGCUGACAUACCACCUGAGCUGUGUGACCUCAACAUACUGGAGAGACAUCUGAUAGCAAAGUGCAUAACAUUUGCCAAAAUCAUUCCUCUUCCCAAAGGCAGACAGAGAGCUAUACAUGGUAAUGUUGUAUGUGUUCCCUCUGAAGUCCAGGAAACAAUUCAGGCUCUACCCAGAUUGAGAAAUGAAUCUCAGGUGAUGAGAGUAAAACUGAAGAGACGCUUGAGUUACAGAGGUCACCAUCUGUUUCAGACUGUUACCUGGUCCAAGCUAGUGCAGGCUCUGCAUAAACUGAAAGAGAUACACCCCCAGUAUGAAGACAUCACUAUUAGAGAUGAGGAGGAGUUAUGUGACCCCACACUUCCUGAUGAUGGUGAUGAGGAUGAUGAUGAUGAUGGUAAUGAUAUUACAAUGAAUGAUGACGACUAUGACGAUGAGGAUUUGAUGGAAAUUGAUCGAAUUGAGGCUGCUGCCAUGUAUGAGGCUGAAACUAAUGUUGAAAAUGAGGAUGAGAGUACAGAGCUGUGUGAUAAAAGUCAGACCCAGGAAAAUGAUGAUCAGACACAACAACAGGAUGCAGACAUACCUAAUGGUGGUGUUGUUUUGGAGUCGUGCCUUCAGCCACGUGAUGUUUCUGAGGAGAUAUUGUGUUUCAGUGACUCUACAUACUCAGUAGCUCCAGCAGAGAGAAACAAUCCAGUCAGUUUUUUCAAAACACCCAAACUAGAGGCCAUGGCGUUUCCUGUUCAGUUUCCCACUGGUGAGAAUACACUGGAUGAAAACAGACCAAUGAAACUAUCACCCAGUAGUUAUUUUAAAGCAAGGCUCUUUGGUGUUGAUGAUCGCUUUGCCAAAGAUACCAACUACCUGUUCUUUGCACAGUUUGUGACUGAAAUACACUUGGCUACCUCCAGCAUGUCAAUACAGUUACGCAAAGGCAAACCUUUGACCAGAGACGGACGUAAAAUAACAUCCAGAAUGUUGAGAGACAAAUACGAAGUGGAGAGACUGGUGAGAAACAGAGAUGCUAUCAGAUUUAUGCAGCCGCUCAGAGGAACACCAGCCUACUGGGACAAAACUACAAAAGAUCUGUUUGCUAUGAUCAGACAGUUGGGCAGUCCUACUUUCUUUGUCACAUUUUCUGCAGCAGAAAUGCGUUGGCCUGAGGUGAUUAUUGCAAUAAAAUUACAACAAGGUGAGGAGGUGAAUUUUGAAGAGCUCGACUGGUCCACAAAGUGUGACAUUCUGAGAAGCAAUCCUGUGACAACGAUGCGCAUGUUUGAUAAGCGUGUUGAAGCACUGUACAGAGAUCUGAUCAUGUCUCCUGCACAACCCCUGGGCAAAGUUUUUGACUUCUUUUGGCGUCUCGAGUUUCAGCACAGAGGAAGUCCUCAUAUACAUGGUCUUUUGUGGGUAGAAGGUGCACCUGUGUUUGAGAGAGACUCUGACAAAACUGUGUGUGACUUUGUGUCCAAACACAUCUCUGCUCAGCUCCCUGACCCAAACAAACAGCCUGAACUGUACAAAAAGGUCAAAGAAGUGCAAAUACACAGUAAGAACCACUCAAAGACAUGUUUCAAAAGUGCAAGUUCUGGAUGCCGAUUUGGAUUCCCAAAACCACCCUCCAGACAGACAAUGAUAACAAGACCUGUGGGUGAUGAUGAGGAGUCAGAGAGACUUAAGAGAGCCAAAGAGAAACUUGCACCACUGAAUCAGCUGCUGAAUGAGACACAAACUGAAUCCAUGAGUUUUCAACAGCUCCUGUCUGUCUGUGACUUAACCGCUGAUGAGUAUGAGAAACACAUGAAUGUGAUGAGUCAGUCCAGCAACAUCAUUCUGAAGCGUGAGCCAAAAGACUGCUGGGUAAACACCUACAACCCUCACCUGCUCAAAGCUUGGGAUGCAAACAUUGACGUGCAGUUCAUUCUCAGCUACUACAGUCUGAUCCAUUACAUAUGUACGUACAUGUGUAAAAGUGAGAACUCUGUGAGCCAGUACCUGCAAACACUCAUUCAGAACUCCGACAGAGAAUGUGUCAAUGAAUGUGAUGAAAUGAAAGCGGUCAUGCAGGCGUAUUCCAAAAAGCGAGAAGUAUCAGCACAAGAAGCUGUUGCCCGAGUGACUUCACUGAACAUGAAAAAGAGUUCACGCAGUGUGGUUUUUGUCCCAACUGAUGACAACCCAGUGAAAAUGAGUCUGCCUGUGUCAAGCCUUGACAACACAACACCAGACAGCUUGAAUGUGUGGAUGACAUCCUUAACAGACAAGUACAAAUCCAGACCUGAAUCACCAGAGUUUGAAGAGAUGUGCAUGGCUGAUUUUGCGUCUACCUGCAGACUGGUGUAUGGACAACAGACCAAGGGCAAGAAAGUGGUACCUCUGCUGAAUGAACUAGGCUUUAUACAGAGACGAGAAAGUGACAACGCUGCUGUCAUCAGGUAUCGCCGCAUAUCCAAAGAGAAAUACCCUGAGCAGUUUUACGGCACAUUGCUUAGACUGUAUCUUCCAUACAGAUCAGACGAUGAGCUGAAAAGACCAUAUUUUCCCACAUAUGAGUCAUUCUAUGAGAGAGGUGUGGUUCAGCUGCCGUAUUCUGACCGACCCCUGAGUGUGAAACUCAUUGUGAAAAGAAACAGAGAGAGAUAUGAAAAAAACAGUGAGGAAAUUGACUCUGCUCUCGAGGACUUUGAACAGAACAGAGGUGUGGUCGAUGAAUGGUGUAAUUUGGCACCUGAAUCUGAACUGGUGAGGUUGGAGUGUAUCGAUGAACUGGAUGCCAGACAGUGUGAAAAUGUCCAAGAGGAUGUACCGGAUUACAGCAGACAAGCAAAUGCUGCUACAGAGGCCAGAGUCAUGAGAGAGCCCCCUACAAUCGAUCCCACACGGUUACGACAAAUGUAUCAGAGUCUGAACCAGAAACAGGCAUGUGUGUUCUAUGCAGUAAGAGACUGGUGCAUAAAACGAGUCUGUGGACCACAACCAGAGCAGUUUUUCUACUACAUCAAUGGUGGUGCUGGCACUGGAAAGUCACAUCUCAUUAAAUGCAUUCAUUCAGAAGCAUCAAAGAUUCUGAGAACACUACCUACACGUGCUGAAGAAGCUGACAUCUCAAACCCGACUGUGCUGUUGACUGCUUUCACCGGAACUGCAGCCUUUAACAUCUCUGGAACAACACUGCACUCUCUCCUCAAGCUGCCCAGAAGUUUGAAACCUCCUUUUCAAGGUCUUGGGAACCAACUUGAUGAAAUCAGGUGUGAGCUUUUAAAUGCUGAAAUCAUCAUCAUUGAUGAAAUCUCCAUGGUGUCGAAGCCUCUGUUUGCCUAUGUGGAUAUGAGACUGAAACAGAUUAAAGGCAGCCACAGACCCUUUGGAGGAAUGUCAGUCAUUGCUGUGGGAGACUUUUACCAGCUACCGCCUGUGCGACAGUCCAAACCACUCUGUGUCUAUGAUCCAAGUGAGCUUGACCUCUGGAGAGACAACUUCCAGGUGAUCACUUUGGAUGAGAUCAUGCGACAGAAGGAUGACAAAACUUUUGCCGAGAUGCUGAACAGACUCCGUGUGAAAACAAGGUCAGAUGAGCUUUCUGAAGCUGACAGAGAUCUGCUGUCACAGCGUGUCACUGAACCACAACUGUGUCCCUCUGAUGUCCUGCACAUUUUUGCUACAAACAAACAAGUUGCAGAACACAACUCUGCUACACUAUCUCUGCUCCAUUCUGAUAUCACCACCAUUGAUGCAGAUGACUUUAAAAAGGACCCACACACUGGACACAUGAAAAGACAAGGUGCACCAUGUCAUGGAAGCAGAAAUGAUCUACCUGACACCCUAGAUGUUGCAGUAGGUGCUAGAGUCAUGCUUACCAGAAACAUUGAUGUGUCUCAAGGAUUAGUGAACGGAUCAUUUGCUACAGUAGGCCGUCUCAUAAGCUCUGAAAACAACAGUUCUACUCUUGUCACUAUGCUUGGUCUCAGGAUGGAUGAUGAAACAGCUGGCAGGAGCUAUCGUACUCGAGGAGACAAUCUUGUGUACAUCGAGAGAUCUGAAGAGGCUCUGCAACAGAAAGGAGUGGUACGCAGACAGUUUCCUGUGAAACUUGCCUUUGCAUGCACGAUACACAAGGUUCAAGGUAUGACCAGAAAAUCUGCUGUUGUCUCACUGAAGCACAUUUUUGAGCCCGGCAUGGCCUACGUAGCUAUCAGUCGAGUGACCUCUCUCAGCGGACUGCACAUGCUUGAUUUGGAUGAGAGUAAAAUUCAUGCUAACCCUGCAGUCACUGUAUCUUUGGAGACCAUGACGCAAGCUAACUUUGAUCACCUCAUGCCUUUUCUCCAGAUCCAGCAUUCUCUCAGCAGACAGGACACUGUGAGCAUCAUUCAUCACAACACCGAAGGAUUACCUGCUCAUGUGAAUGACAUCAAAAGCCAUCAUGAACUGUGUCUUGCAGAUGUUUUGUGUCUGACAGAAACUCACCUACAGGGCUCCUUUGUGGCGGACAGUCUCCAGUUUGAGGGCUACACCAUGUUCAAACGCAACAGACAUUUGUCCUACACUAACUUUCCACAGAUGGCCAGUAAAGGAGGUGGUGGAGUCGCUGUUUAUGUGAAAAACCAUUUGCAGGUUGUGGAGAAACAGUACCUGAAUAAUGUGACUGACCUUGAGUUUGUGGCUUUGAAGGUUGAAUCUCCUGUAAGUGCUCUGAUUGCAGCUGUGUACAGACCUCCAGACUACAGUGUGCCAUCAUUCCUGUCCAAUCUGGGAAGCCUUCUGGACUCACUUGAGAUCAUGGACUGUCAUCCCAUCAUCGUCUGUGGCGACUUCGAUGAGAAUCUCUUUUCUAAUGCAAGUAAGCCAAUUCUGGAUUUCUUUCAGUCCAAGGGAUAUGGUCAACUGAUCACUGCUGCUACAACGGACAAGAACACACUGCUGGACCUGAUCUUCAUCUCACGACCUCAGCUAUGUCUCUCCUCAGGUAUCAUGCAGACCUACUACAGUUACCACAACGCCACUUAUUGUGUCAUUUCAUCCAACAGGUCAUAGAGGAAACUGCUCUGAAGGAAAAGACAAACCAGAGAAGUUGUGGCUAAUGUUAUGCUCAUAUUUUCAGUACAGAUUGAAAUGUGUUUGGUCAUUGUAAAUUUUACUUGUGCAAAAUAUAUUUUUAUGGUUCAGAAUUUUUAGAUAGAAAAUAUUUUUCAGGUUGUAAAAUUUUCCAACUAUUCAAAUGUUAUAAAUGACAAUUUUUGGCCUGUGCAUUUAUCAAGUCCAGUCAAGUCAAGUUAAUCCAUUUAACUUGACUUGACUGGACAUAGGGAGGGUGGGUGCGGAUUGAUAAAUGCACAGGCCAAAACUCUCAGCUGCUGUGUACAAUACUGUAUACAGCAGCUAAAAUUAAAAACCUCCAUCAGAAAGUGUGUGUUCCCUAAUGAACACACACUUUCUGAUGUUCUGUUACCUACCAGCUGAAACCCCCUUUUCUCCACCCAACUUUACACCACUCUCUUAGCAUGGGUGGCUGUAAGUACACUAGGGCAAACAUAAGUUUCCUUUUCUUUGGGUAGGUUUUUAUUUUUUAUUUUUUAUUUUUUAUUAUUAUUUUUUUUUUCAGUUGUCCCCGCCAUCUUUAACCUGACCCCCAUUAGUACUAUCCUGACUAGCUCACUGUAAACUGAAAAAAAUUAUCAAACUGUCAACCAAAAGUAAACACAUCACCUGUAGGUACAGUAGAGUAAAGCUAAGUUUCCUUUUGUUUGGGUAUUUUUUUUUUCUUCUUCAGUUGUCUCUGCCAUCUUUGACCUGACCAUUAGUGCUGUCCUGACUAGCUCACUUAUGAGCAGAAAAAAAUUAUCAAACCGUCAACCAGAAGUAAACACAUCACUUUGGACCACUCAAAGACACAGUCUACCUGCUGUUUAACCCAGUCUUUGGUCAGAGGUGAAGAAGAGAUGACAUCCUCCACACCAUCCCCCUGCUGCUCUCAACAACCAUCAUCGCUGUGCUGGACAGAUUGCAGCACCCACCAGGACCCUUCUCUCAUGGACUACACAAACAUGUGUUUUACCUGCUCAUGCUCCAGAUGUCCUGAAGCAGCUCUCAAGGACCACCAGACACCAGGCUGAAGCAGAACUGAUGCUGUAGUACCUGUCACUCACUGGGCUCGUUCCUGCUGAACCUCCAAGAGAUAAACCCCUCUUCAAGAACGUCUGAGGUAAUGUCUUAGUGAACUUGUGUUCAUUUAUUUUUUCUUAGUUAUCUUAGCUGCUGUAUUAAUGCUUGUGAUGCUAUUGUACAGCUCUGCUGAUAUCAUCGUCUUUAACAGCAGUGUUUUCUCCCAGGUCUUCUUCAAGCCAGUUAAGAGAGGAAGAACAGCUUAGACACUCAGGCAGCUGAACGCACCAAAGGUGGACAUCAUGCAGCCACCCUGAGCCUUGAGCCUCUCUGUGUGAGGAAGCUUUGCUGCUGCAGACCUGGUGAAGUUGCUCUGGACAGAAAUAUUUUUGCUCUGCUGCAGUGCUGAAGGUAUUCAUUUUAAUGAUGUGUGUAUUUAUUCAACAUGUUUAGUUUCACAGAUUAUCAACACAAAUGUUUCUGUUUAUUUCCUGUUUUGAACCAGCUACAUUCUCCUACUUCAAGUCACUGUCUGUUCAUCCACGGUGUAGCAAGUGCAGCUAACUAAUGGUGAUCCUACAAGUCCUGCAGUCCUGUGAAGCAAGCUGCAGCAGAUGUCAUCACAUUCAGAUCAUCAGUUCAUCUUUACUGCAGCUUUAAACUUUCCCUGACUCCAGUGAUGCUGUCAACUCGAACACUGAUAACUGCACACAGCGAUUCUACAACCACAGGUCAAAGGUCAAAACAUUACCUCACUCUAAACCUUCACUCUGAACUGUAGCGGGCUCUGCUUUUGGUUUUGAACAAAAGUGCCCAGACAGAACACAGUACUCACUUGAAGAACUGACUGAUUUUCUUCAGGACAGGACAACUAUUACUCUUAUAUUGUUUUGAAUCCUGUUUUCUACAUUCAGUGAUCGGUUGUCGAUAUCUGUUAAUAUUUUAAGUUUCCUUUAUGUUUCUUGGACUUUAUUUGUUCUAUUUUAUUUUAGUAUUUUCUUUCCCUUUUACUGUGUAUCUGUCCUUAUAUCAAAAGAUGACCAACACUGAUGAAGGGAAAUAAUACCAGUUACUUCAGUUGUUGCAGGCAGCUGAAUUUCUCAUUUUAAUAUGCUCACCAUAUCCCUCAAAUUUACCUACAAGAGAAGACGUGUUUUAGAAAUUAAUGAUGUACUUUGGGUUUCAGCUGGUAGGUACACUGCAGGUUUUUCACGUGUGCUUAGUCUUGGGCUAAUGUUUUGGACAGCAGUGAUCCCAGCAUUACAGUGUGAACCAAUCCCUGCUGAAGGUUGCCGUCACAAUCCUCAAACACAGGGCUCGUUUACGAGCUGUGUGAAGGGAUUUCAUAGAGGAACAAAGUUUUUAUGCUUAUCCUUAAAAUGUAUUUCUCCAUAGUAGAAAACUUUUAAAAAAGAAACUAUCAUCGUGAAGACAACCCAGCAUUUCAGUACGACAAGUAGUGUGAAUGUUUGGAUAAGAAAACACUGGGAUCUAAAAUGCUGACCAGAUUGUCAGUCCACUACAAUGAGCUGAUGACAGUAUUAGCCUUGGUCUAACUACUGUGAAAAGCCUUUUGGGUGGUAAGGUGGACCAAUACAUGCUAUAAAAAAUACCUUAGUGCCAUAUUUAAGUUAUUAACCUUUCAUCUUACUUUGCCUGUAUAUUUCCGCAAGCCUGGAUGACUUUGCACCUUUUGCAUUUGCAUUCUUUACCUUACCCUCCACAUUAUUUCAAAUCUUAAAUUUAGAUUUAAUUAAAAAAAAAUAUUUUAAUUUCUGUAAAAGACUUCUGUACUACACUGUACAGUAAACCGCUGAGUUAUUUUUGCUGACCAGAUUGUCAGUCCACUACAAUGAGCUGAUGACAGUAUUAUCCUUGGUCUACUGUGAAAAGCCCUUUGGUGGUAAGGUGGACCAAUCCAUUACAUCAAUUUAUUUCAAGUUCUCAAAUCUACUUUUUAAUCUGAUCAUUUUAGAUUUUGUUUAAAGUUUCAGUUUCAUGUCAUUUAAUUUUAUUCAUUAUUAUAAUUAUUUAUUAUUCGAUAAUUUUCUUUUUUUCUACAUGAGAGGGCCCACAUUUCACUGCAGUUAGCUUUAAAAAAUACUAAAAUGCCAUAUUUAAUUAAUAAGCCUUUCACCUUACUUUGCCUGUAUAUUUCCACAAGCCUGGAUAACUUUGCAUUAUUUGCAUUUGCAUUCUUUACCUUACCCUUCACAUUAUUUUACAUUUAUUCUAUACUUGUUGUGUUUCACAUUUAUGUUGUUAUACUGCUGACCGAUUUUAGUAACUAUUUUUUUUAUAACUCUCAAGUCACCAUUUUCAUAUAUUUUUUUAAUGUAUAGGUAUAAUAAAGGUUUUUCAGCUGUGCAAACUUAGUCUUAGGCUAAUCUAAACCCUUAAAAACACGCAUAACAGUCCUGUAUCAGACUUUGAAAUCAAAUUUCAAGGUCUGUCUUUAAAGCCCACAACACAGGACUUGGCUUAAUGUGCCAUGACAAAUUUUAUGAGCCAACUUUUAAGGCUUAGUAAUCCGAAUACACAAGAAAAGAGGUGAAUGUGGGUCCAGGGCUGCUGGAGUUUGAAUCAAGUAAAUAAUGGGGUGUUAGCCUCAGUCUAAGCACCGUAUGAAGAGCCUUUAAUGAUUGGGCUAAACAAUAUUAGAAACAACUGAAAAUGUGAUACCUUUGUCCAUCAAUAAUUACAGCAACUACAAUCUUAAAACCUCAGGCUUAAGAGACAGAUUGGUCACCCAUGUAAAGAUUUCUGCUUCCAAAACCUGUUCACAAACAAAUUGUUUAUAAUUUGAUUUAAGGCACUAUGGAACAUUGUUUCUUUAUGUGUUUAUGUUUUGAUGUUUUGUUUUAAUUUUUUUUUAAUGUUUUAUGAUUAAUCAUUUCAUUGCUCACAAAAUGUUAAAGGAUUGACAAUUUUUUUUUCUUUCUUUUGGUUUUACUUAUGUAAAAACUCAGUUUUAAUUUUUUAAGUUGAUGCAAAUUUUAAAUUAAAUAUAUUUGUGUAAUGUGUUCAUGUCUCAUUUAAAUUCAUUUCUACUUCGUCCAACAUGAAGGCCUUUUCAGCCAUCUUUAAAAUUCUUUACCAUAUUUUCUGUAAUGUUCAAGUUCAGUUCUUAAGCAAUCUGAAUAUUCAUACAGCUUCUGGUUUACCUCUCCCAGUGUUUUUACAUCCAUAUAACUCAUCUCUUUUUCAAUAUCUUCUUCUUCAGUUCUGUUACGGUUUAAACAUUCACACAACUUCUACUUAUUACACUUCACCCCUUUAACAGUUUUUUUCAUUUAUACUCUCCUCCAUUUUUUUCACAGUUUUGCUUUUCAGUUUUCAGCAUUCAGCAUUUCCACGCAUUUUCUGCAAGGAAAUGCAACUUUUCUAGUUAAACUUAUUAUUUUUCUUCCGUACCUUUUUUGGACCGCUUCUCCUCCUUCAAACUUUGUCCGAUUUCAACCGUUCAAACUUUAAACUAUUCCACUCCUUCAGGACAUGAUGGCGUCUAUUUUUUUUCUUUCUACCCUUUAUACUUUUUGGUUUUUUUAACUUUUUGUGCAAAAAUUUUAACAUUGAAGUCAAUGGGGAAAUCUUCAACUUCUUCCUUUCAUUCUUCCACCUUCUAGACCUUAUAACUUCAGCAUACUUUCACCUAGAGACCUCAUUUUUGCUUUAAAAUGUUCAUUCACUUGUCGACUAUUAUAGUUGUACUCAGUUUUUUGAUAUCUUUUACAGUUUUUCCACAAUUUAGCUUUAAGCAACUUGUGGUUUUCAGCAAAUUUCAAGCUUUAUAAUGGGUGUGUAUUGGAGAGUUUAGAGUGAUGAUGUCAUCAGCUAGAGUGCAGACCUCGUCUCUGAUCGACAGAACCUCGCUCGAAUAUAUCACUCCCACGCCCACAAAUCUCACUCCACUGACACAAAUAAUACAUCAAAAUGGAGGUAUAUGUGUCCUGCUUCUCACAAAAGAGGUUUCAAAUCAUUAAAUCGUACCCCUUGGCCAGCAGGUGACCAACUGUCCAAAUAGGCGGAAAUCUCUCCCCAUUAGACCUAAUGUAUUUCUUCUCCAAGAAAAUCCUUAUCCCCACUCAGGCUCAGACUUUUUUAACUCGCUGUUGUGGCCACAUUUUUUGGAGUACAGACAUGUAAAACACAUCAUUGUGUUCAUGAAGGGCGGAGGAUUCGUACGAUGUUCUUAUUUUCAUUCUGGGACUUAAGGAAAUCACACUAUGUGAAGAAGUUCACAUGGUUUAAAUCCUCUGCAGUUCAGCUGCUUCUCAUUCAAACAGUAGGUCAGUGAUUUGCCUUUGAUCUCACAGCUGUUAGGGAUGCAGACAUUAAUGAGACACACACACACACACACACACACACACACACACACACACACACACACGCACACACACAUUCUUGUACUUGUUGCUUUAUGAGGUCUACCUUGCAGUUCAGCUGCUUGUACACACCGUUAAUAUGUGUCUGCUUCACCACCUAUCUCCACCUACAAACUUUGAGCUACAGAAACCAUUCUGGGCUUCAAAAAUUCAGCUCAUUGAAGAUAUUAUGGGGUGUUUUAAGGAUUGUGAUAAUAAAUUGUAUUAAUGUCUUCAGCAGAGUCUUGUGGUUCUCACUACCUCCUUAUCAUGAAUAUAGCUGUUACAGAGGAUGAGCAUAGUCUGGGAUUUUGUUUCUCAGCUUCAAGGCUCCUUUCUCCUGCAUCUAUGGUCCCCAUAGCAACCAAUUAGUGCACCUGGAGACACACAGCUGACUGAAAAGCUGCUUCUAACGGCCAUUUGAGGCACAUGAAGCCAGGCUCAGUAUACAGAGCACUGAGUGUUACAUUUAAAACCCUUCACCAGAGCACCUGAAAAAGAUUAAGCCCCUAUCUCCUCCCACAAACUUUGACCUAUAGAAACCAUUCAGGGCUCCAAGAAUUCGGCUCAUUGAGGACAUUAUGGGGUGUAUUUAGGAUUUUUAUUCAUUUACAUAUUUCAAUUUUUAAGGUCACUCAGUGAUGAUUCAUUAUUUAAUUUGUAAACUAAUUUAAACUCAUUCAUACCUUUCUGAUAUUUAAAAUCUUAAUGAUUCUUGAGGAUUUUUGAUAAUUUAAAUUUUCCCAGUUUAAAUUAGUUUAAAUAUUUAUGCAUUAUUCCAUCCUUCAAACAAAAUCCCACCUCUAGAGCUACAACUACUGCUAAUGUCAAUUAAAGUACUUUCCCCUCUACUUCAACUGCUAUUGCUCCUAUUUCUACUUUCUCUACUACUUUACUGAUACUUCUUUUAUUCUCAAACUACUUCUACUGCUUACAUGACUACUAGUAUCACUACUUGACUACUUGUCAUACUACUUCUAGUACUACAACUUAAACUUAUGCCACUUCUCACCUUCCUGCCUUUUAAGGCAAUUUCCUUCUUCAUUCAAACUUGCUUGUACACACAGUUAAUAUGUGUCUGCUUCACCACCUAUCUCCACCCACAAACUUUGAGCUACAGAAACCAUUCUGGGCUUCAAAAAUUCAGCUCAUUGGAGAUAUUAUGGGGUGUUUUGAGGAUUGUGAUAAUAAAUUGUAUUAAUGUGUUCAGCAGAGUCUUGUGGCUCUCACAACCUCCUUGGCAUGAAUAUAGCUGUUACAGAGGAUGAGCAUAGUCUGGAAGUUUGUUUCUUAGCUUCAAGGCUCCUUUCUCCUGCAUCUACGGUCCCCAUAGCAACCAAUUAGUGCACCUGGAGACACACAGCUGACUGGAAAGCUGCUUCUAACAGACAUAUGAGACACAUGAAGCCAGGCUCAGUACACAGCAUAUUGGUGAUUCAUACUGCCACUGAAGUUUAACUUUGAUCAUGUGUGUGCAGUACUGUCUUUGUGUCUAUAAGAGCUACUCGCACACACACACCACUUCUAAUUGUAACAUCUCUUUAAGUAGUACUCCACUUUUACUACAUAUACUUCUAACAUUUAUACCACCAGUACUUCUACCACUUCUGAAACUACUACGAGCACUUAUUCGACUACAGCUACCACUUCCACUACUACUACCACCACUUCAACUACUACUACUAUGACUAGCUCUACAACUGCAACUUGUAUCCCUCUACAUCUCCUUCUAUUCUUUUUCUUUAAACAUAACUUUCUUUAUUUGAAGUAAUUACACAGACAGCAACAUGUCAGUACAAUUUGACAGAGAUCUCCACUCUAUCCUUUUCCCCAGUUUUUUAUCCCUCCCACAUCUCCUUCUAUUCUAAACCCACUAUAAGUACUGUGACAAGUACUACCGCUAAUAUGACUACUACUAUCACUUCUACCACUAUUCAUUUUACUACUACUACCACUAAAACUUCUACAACUUCUUACUCAAAUCCUCCUAGGUUUUUUUUUAGGUCCUAUCAGUUGUAUUUUUGCUGUCAUUUUCACAUUCAUUAUGCUGGUAUGACAAUAAUUUUUUUGCUGUUAAUUUUUUUAAUGAAUUUCUAUUUCCCACAAUGUGUGGAUUAAGUUAACCACUGUGUUAACCACCUUGUCGAGGGAAGUGUGAAAUUUCCGAGUGUCCCUGAACGCCUCAAACAUUUCUACCGGGACUCCGCCUUGGCUCGCGCUAUCCUGCUGCAUCUUACAGAAGGGUGAGUCAGAGCUGAGUCUCUGUCAACGUCUAAACGUUAAAAAAUGGGAUUUAACCUGUCAAAAUGGCACUGGUUUGAGUUAUAAUCGAUGAAGAGUUCAUUCAUGAUUGAAGUGGUCGAGAUGUUGACUUGAAAAAGCUUACGCUAACAGUGUUAGCGUCGAGCUAGCGGAGUUAGCACCGAGCUAGCGGAGUUAGCGUCAAGCUAGCGGAGUUAGCGUCGAGCUAACGCUAAAGCUAACAUUCCGUCAUUUAUGGGGCUGAAUCAUUAGCCAGCUGAGAAAUGCACAAAAUAAUGUGAUGUGCAGUUUGUAGAGUUUACUGACAUUUGGACUGACGGGGAUACUAAUAUUGUCAAGUAUUAACUUACUACUGAAGCUAGCGCUGUUGCUACAGGUAGUAGCAACAGCUGUGACUGAGUCAUAGCUGGGGAAUUGGUCUGGAGACGUCAGCUGUUUAGCUCCUGGUCACUUUUUAUCAGCCAUUGUAGAUGUAUUAAAAUAUAGGCUGCAUUUAGCAAGCAUCCAGUUAUAACACAAAUGUGAGUGGUUUUUCUUGUUUUAUGUGUCAGAAUGACACUAGAUGGUCCUCUAUUAUUGAAGGUGUUAUUCAUGAUGGGGUUGAUAGAGAUAUUUACAUUGCAAAACAUAAAAUUAAUUCAGUAUUUAAUGUUUAACAAUACGAAGUUCCAAAUAAUAAAUAUAUUCCAGUUGAAUUUCCAUUUAGGGAUCUAUAAAGUUCUUAUCUUAAUAUUGAGUUGAUGGAUGGAGAGUUAGCUGCCUUGAAGUUGGUGAACCGACUCCUGGGCUGUCUCUGUCUCACUGGCUGCUGCUGUACCUCACAUUAUACUGUACCUAAUUUACCUUUGAUCACAAGCUGUUAAUUUCGAUAUUGGUGAUGUGCUAACACCACAGCAAAGAUAUUUUAUCUGAGGGAUAAAUACUUUAAUACAGUAUAUAUUAUGGGACAUUUUCAGCUGCAGCUAACAGCCAAGUGAUCUGUUGGAGCUGUUUAGUUUUCAAUUAGCCCAAGUACUGUAAUAAUGUUAGUUUUCUUUACAGGCCAGUUGUUUUUAGUGUGCUAUCUGUCAGAAAACACUAAUGUAUUGUUUCUUGUCUCAAACAAACAGAAGAUACAUCCACUCCAGUGCACUUGUUGGUAAGUAUAAGUGUUUUAAGCAAGACUGACAACAAACAAAAUAAGAAUAACUCGAUUAAUGUUGAGCUUAAUCCUGUUAAACAACGUGAUAUUCUAGAUAAUGUACAACAUAUGAUGCAUUUUUCAAAUACUGAGUUUAAAUUGAUAUGAAAUGUUUAUUUUUCUGUAACACUGUUGUAUAUCCUAUAUGAAAAUCAUAGAUGGGAUACAGUUUUUUCCUAGUAGAAAAUAAUGUGCUUACAAUAUUACAACAGUACUAAAUUAUUUUUUGUAAACAUUUUAAUUUGCUGGGAAAUGCUGAAUCUUGAUUUUGACAAUAAUAAAGUGGGAAAAUCAUUCAGGAAAAAUGUCUUUAAAUGAAGUGAGCUGUGAGGGAGGUUCUUUUGAGUGUGUUAAAAAUCUUUUUUCCUCCCUCUCCCCCUCCUCCUGCCUCAUCUUGUCCUUUGACCUCCUGCCCUAUCAACUCUGAAGUGUAAGUUCACUCUUGUAUACUUAUUAAGCAAUCAAUUAAGUGUUGCAUUUUUGCUCUGCAGUUUAUAAUGACAUUUCACUGUUUUGUAUUUCACCUCAAUAACAUACAUAACAAAGUAAAGAGAGGGCCUUCGUGCAUUUUCUCUCCAUCUUAAACAUUUUUUACAGGCCAAGGGAGCUGCAGUAACAUCCUUUUACUAAUCAAGGGCUACCGAUUGUAGACUUUGAUAAGAAAUGAGAAAACUAAUGAUCCACACUGAAAAGCGGUGUGAUUACAGUAAACUAUGAGUUACUGAUUUUUUUUGCAACUAAAUUUAUUUACUUUUUGUCCCUGUCUUUUCUCUCCUGAACUCGACGCUAUGUCUACUGCUGGCCCUGUUCACUGUUGGCGACUCAGCUGUAAGUUCACAAAUAAAGUAACUUUAAAAUAUAUUUUUACUGUUACUUUUCACAACACAUUAUCUAAAAACCUGACCUAAAUAACACUUUAUUUUAACUAAUGCAGAAACAAAUGGAAAUAAUUUUGCUGGCUGAUCACAGUUGGAAUUACAAUGCAGUGAGAUGUGCUGGUUUUGUACAAUUAAAAUAAAAAUCUCUUGUCACUGUUUUUCCAUUUUCCUUCUUGCCAACUCUAUCCUGUCUCCAAGUGCAGACCGCUUUGUGGCGACUCGACGUAAGUUCACACAGGAAUGACAUUUUCAUGAAUAAUACAGUGUGCCUUUAUUCAACACAUUAUGGACCCCUCAUCAUGUACUAACUUGAUGAUUUUUUCCCUUUGAUUAUGUAAUAUUCACAGUUGGACAUGAACAGCUUGAAUGUUAUAUGCAAUACACUUAUUUGCAUUUUAUUUCCAAUCAUUGGAAAGCAAUUUGUUACUAUUAAAUUGUGGAGUUGUAAUUUUUUUAAUGAUGAAUAUCCAAAUAGUUACUUAUCAUUGUGAUUCCUUACGUUGUGAUUACUUCGUUGGAAAACUUAAAACACAGUAAAGGAAAUUACAUUUCCUAAAAUACAUUAUUAUUUUAUUAGCAUAGUAAUCCAUUGUUAUUAUUGCUUAACAGGACAUGGUUAUGAACAUUAUAAAGGGAACUUUAGAUGAUUUCUAAGAGUCUAAAAUUUUUUUGUAAAAAAAUUCUUCUCUUUUUGUAAAAUACUUUGAGGUCCUAAAUUUAAAAAGCUGGCUAUGUGGUUGGAUUCAAGUUGGACUCAGUGUAGGAUGUGGUAGAGAGAUGUACGCUGAGAAGGUGGAGACUAUUUUAAAGAACAUGGAUUACCCACUUCAUAACACCUUGAUGGACCAAAGGGCCUAAGGUGGUGGACGGCUCCUCUCUCUUCGCUGCAGGACAAAAAGAUUCAGAAGGUCUUUUGUACCCACAGCCAUCAGACUUUACAAUUCUUUUAAAAAUAGUAGAUGACUUUUGGAGAUAAGACAAAUGAGACUACAAUCAAAUUUCCCUUCAGGGAAAUAAUAAAGUUCUCCUUACCUUAAAUACAUUUUUAAUAAACUCGUAUGAGCACUUUGGAUUUUUAGUUCUUAUUAAUUUGAUUGAUGGGUUAUCAAACAGGGCAAUUGCCAAUUCCAGGAUUUGACUCAACUUGGCUUUUGAUAGAUAUAUAGUUAAGGAUAGCCAUAUGGUGGGUUAAGUAAAAGCACAUAAUAAUGACAUUAGCUUUGGGUGGAUGUUGGUUCAUUUUGUUUCUCUUAUAAAAAAUGAUUCAUGUUUGUUUUCAUUGUGUCUUACAGGUAUCGUGUCCAGUCUCCCCACUCUCCCCUAUCUUUUUGGCCGCUCUGACUUUCCUGUCUCCUCCACCUCUCUGUCUUAUUGAAAAGCCACUCUAUCUUGUGUCCCCCUUUUCUCUAUCCCUCUAGCUAAAUUUUGGACGCUCUUACUUUCCUGUCUCCUCUACCGCUCUAUCUAAUUGAAAGCCACUCUAUCUUGUGUCCCCCUUUUCUCUAUCCCUCUGACUAAGUUUGGUUACUCUGACUUUCCUGUCUCCUCUACCGCUCUAUCUGAUUGAUCAGCUUUUCAGAAACCAUUGUGACAAGCCUUUCAGAAACCAUUGUGACAAGCUUUUCAGAAACCAGUGUACCAGAAACCUCUGAGAAACCAGUGUACCAGAAACCUCUGAGAAACCAGUGUACCAGAAACCUCUGAGAAACCAGUGUACUAGAAACCUUUCAGAAACCAGUGUACCAGAAACCUCUGAGAAACCAGUGUACCAGAAACCUCUGAGAAACCAGUGUACUAGAAACCUUUCAGAAACCAGUGUACCAGAAACCUCUGAGAAACCAGUGUACCAGAAACCUCUGAGAAACCAGUGUACCAGAAACCUCUGAGAAACCUAUUGAAGCAAGCUACCUUUUUUUGAGCAACCAUUGAAACAAGCUACCUUUGAGAAACCUAUUGAAACAAGCUACCUUAUUUUGAGAAACCAAACUUUUGAAAAGCUGUACAUUUAAUACAACCACUGUUUUGAAAAAUCCCCAAUUUUGCAAAAGUCUGACUGUUGUUCUAGGUCCUCCUUUCCUGUCUGUGGAUCCAGAGUUUCACCGGAAGUGUCAUCAGCACAACCACAUCUGCAUCCCUGAUUUUGAAAGAAAAAAAAAAGUUCCAUAUAGAAUAUUUGAGUUAGAUAUUAUUUCAAGCACAAAGCGCUAAGAUUUAAAAAUUGUUGUUGAUUUGUGUUUUUUCUGAAAACAUUUAUAUAGUCUUGUGUAGGAUUUUCUUAUAAAACAUUUGAUAAACUAUUGUAGUAUACACACAGUUAUAAAUUAAAUCUUUUUGGAGACUAUAAGAGCUGUUAAAUAACAUCUUCUUGAAG